GUGUCAGCCGCCGCGGUAAGACAGAGGGUGCAAACGUUGUUCGGAUUUACUGGGCGUAAAGCGCGUGUAGGCGGCUUGGCAAGUCGGAUGUGAAAGCCCACGGCUCAACCGUGGAAGCGCACCCGAAACGGCCUCGCUCGAGUCUCGGAGAGGAAGGUGGAAUGCUUGGUGUAGAGGUGAAAUUCGUAGAUAUCAAGCAGAACACCUGCGGCGAAGGCGGCCUUCUGGACGAUGACUGACGCUGAGACGCGAAAGCGUGGGGAGCAAACAGGAUUAGAAACCCCUGUAGUCC
rnacentral:rRNA from 1 species